UCUAGAACUCGAGAUAUAAGCUGAAAACCAAACAGUGUCUGGGUUGCAGGACAGAUUCUGACUUCUCUGUUGUUGCUAAGAUUUGAACUUGAAAAUGGCAAAAUUGAGUCUUGGACUCCCUAUGAAAGUUUUAGGUCUAUGUCUUAGCUUUCCAUA
rfam:Populus trichocarpa scaffold_28_contig_12, whole genome shotgun sequence.